rnacentral:rRNA from 1 species
CAGUAGCCACGGGAAUACGAAGGGUGCAAGCGUUAAUCGGAAUUACUGGGCGUAAAGCGUGCGUAGGCGGUGAGUUAAGUCUGCUGUGAAAUCCCCGGGCUCAACCUGGGAAUGGCAGUGGAUACUGGCUCGCUAGAGUGUGUCAGAGGAUGGUGGAAUUCCCGGUGUAGCGGUGAAAUGCGUAGAGAUCUGGAGGAAUACCGAUGGCGAAGGCAGCCAUCUGGCCUAAUACUGACGCUGAGGUACGAAAGCAUGGGGAGCAAACAGGAUUAGAUACCCGCGUAGUCCCUGUCUCUUAUAC